CUGCAGCCCGAGUGGUGAUCGAUUUUAUUGAGCCUAAAGCGUCCGUAGCCGGACUAGUAAACCCUUGGGUAAAUUGGGCAGCUUAACUGUCCAAAUUCCGAGGGGACUGCUAGUCUUGGGACCGGGAGAGGUCAGAGAUACUCAAGGGGUAGGGGCUAAAUCCUGUAAUCCUUUGGGGACCACCAGUGGCGAAGGCGUCUGACUAGAACGGAUCCGACGGUAAGGGACGAAACCCUGGGGCGCGAACCGGAUUAGAUACCCGAGUAGUCC
rnacentral:rRNA from 1 species